GACGAAUGCUGGCUGCGUGCUUAACACAUGCAAGUCGAACGGUGAAGGAGGGCUUGCCCUCCGGAUCAGUGGCGAACGGGUGAGUAACACGUGGGCAACCUGCCCCUCACUCUGGGAUAACGCCGGGAAACCGGCGCUAAUACCGGAUACGACCAGGCGCGACAUCUCGCCUGGUGGAAAGAAUUUCGGUGAGGGAUGGGCCCGCGGCCUAUCAGCUAGUUGGUGGGGUAACGGCCCACCAAGGCGACGACGGGUAGCCGGCCUGAGAGGGCGACCGGCCACACUGGGACUGAGACACGGCCCAGACUCCUACGGGAGGCAGCAGUGGGGAAUAUUGCGCAAGGGGCGAAAGCCUGACGCAGCGACGCAGCGUGAGGGACGAAGGCCUUCGGGUUGUAAACCUCUUUCAGCGGGGACGAAGCGAAAGUGACGGUACCCGCAGAAGAAGCACCGGCUAACUACGUGCCAGCCGCCGCGGUAAGAC
rnacentral:rRNA from 1 species